rnacentral:rRNA from 1 species
UACGUAGGGUGCAAGCGUUAAUCGGAAUUACUGGGCGUAAAGCGUGCGCAGGCGGUUUUGUAAGUUUGUCGUGAAAGCCCCGGGCUCAACCUGGGAAUUGCGAUGAAGACUGCAAGGCUUGAAUCUGGCAGAGGGGGGUAGAAUUCCACGUGUAGCAGUGAAAUGCGUAGAGAUGUGGAGGAACACCGAUGGCGAAGGCAGCCCCCUGGGUACAACUGACGCUCAGUGCACGAAAGCGUGGGGAGCAAA